rnacentral:snRNA from 1 species
ACUGAUUAUAUCAAGUUUUUCAG